ACAAGCAGCGGAGCGUGUGGUUUAAUUCGAUGCUACACGAAGAACCUUACCAGGGUUUGACAUACAAGUAGUAGGGAAAGGAAACUGGACCGACCUUCGGGGAGCUUGUACAGGUGCUGCAUGGCUGUCGUCAGCUCGUGUCGUGAGAUGUUGGGUUAAGUCCCGCAACGAGCGCAACCCUUGUCAUUAGUUGCUACAUUCAGUUGGGCACUCUAAUGAGACUGCCGGUGACAAACCGGAGGAAGGUGGGGAUGACGUCAAGUCCUCAUGGCCCUUAUAGGUGGGGCUACACACGUCAUACAAUGGAUGGUACAAAGGGUCGCCAACCCGCGAGGGGGAGCCAAUCCCAUAAAGCCAUUCGUAGUCCGGAUCGCAGUCUGCAACUCGACUGCGUGAAGUCGGAAUCGCUAGUAAUCGUGGAUCAGAAUGUCACGGUGAAUACGUUCCCGGGUCUU
rnacentral:rRNA from 1 species